UGGAAUAAUAUAGGUAAGGGAAGUUGGAAAAAUAGAUCUGUAACUUCGAGAAAAGGAUUGGCUUUGAGGGGUGGGCUAGGGGGUCCAAGUCCUGAACCCAUUGGUUGUUGGUGGACUAAUCGAGUUGCUCACAUGGUGAGAGCAGGUCACCGUGUGCCGGCUGGGGGACAGACUGGGAAUGGUUCCUUUGGGGACCUUCCCCGUGCAUCGAAUAUCCAACUCAGAACUGGUACGGACAAAGGGAAUCCUAUUGUUUAGUUAAAAGAAAGCAUUGUGAUGGUACCAAUAGAUGUUCACGCAAUGUUAUUUUUUCCCAGUGCUCUGAAUGUCAAAGUGAAGAAAUUCAAUAAAGCACGAGUAAAUGGCGGGAGUAACUAUAACUCUCUUAAGGUAGCCAAAUGCCUCGUCAUCAAUUUAGUGAUGAGCAUGAAUGGAUUAAUGAGAUUCCCACUGUCCCUGUCUACUAUCUAGCGAAACCAAAGCCAAGGGAACAAGCUUGG
rnacentral:ncRNA from 1 species